rnacentral:rRNA from 1 species
CUACGGGGGGCUGCAGUGGGGAAUAUUGCACAAUGGGCGCAAGCCUGAUGCAGCCAUGCCGCGUGUAUGAAGAAGGCCUUCGGGUUGUAAAGUACUUUCAGCGGGGAGGAAGGGAGUAAAGUUAAUACCUUUGCUCAUUGACGUUACCCGCAGAAGAAGCACCGGCUAACUCCGUGCCAGCAGCCGCGGUGAAUACGGAGGGUGCAAGCGUUAAUCGGAAUUACUGGGCGUAAAGCGCACGCAGGCGGUUUGUUAAGUCAGAUGUGAAAUCCCCGGGCUCAACCUGGGAACUGCAUCUGAUACUGGCAAGCUUGAGUCUCGUAGAGGGGGGUAGAAUUCCAGGUGUAGCGGUGAAAUGCGUAGAGAUCUGGAGGAAUACCGGUGGCGAAGGCGGCCCCCUGGACGAAGACUGACGCUCAGGUGCGAAAGCGUGGGGAGCAAACAGGAUUAGAUACCCUAGUAGUC